rnacentral:rRNA from 1 species
GCAAUUCGAACGAAGCCUUUCGGGCUUAGUGGGCGCACGGGUGCGUAACGCGUGGGAAUCUGCCCUUGGGUUCGGAAUAACAGUUAGAAAUGACUGCUAAUACCGGAUGAUGUCUUCGGACCAAAGAUUUAUCGCCCAAGGAUGAGCCCGCGUCGGAUUAGCUAGUUGGUGAGGUAAAGGCUCACCAAGGCGACGAUCCGUAGCUGGUCUGAGAGGAUGAUCAGCCACACUGGGACUGAGACACGGCCCACACUCCUACGGGAGGCAGCAGUGGGGAAUAUUGGACAAUGGGCGAAAGCCUGAUCCAGCAAUGCCGCGUGAGUGAUGAAGGCCUUAGGGUUGUAAAGCUCUUUUACCCGGGAUGAUAAUGACAGUACCGGGAGAAUAAGCCCCGGCUAACUCCGUGCCAGCAGCCGCGGUAAUACGGAGGGGGCUAGCGUUGUUCGGAAUUACUGGGCGUAAAGCGCACGUAGGCGGCUUUGUAAGUUAGAGGUGAAAGCCCAGAGCUCAACUCUGGAACUGCCUUUAAGACUGCAUCGCUUGAAUCAUGGAGAGGUUAGUGGAAUUCCGAGUGUAGAGGUGAAAUUCGUAGAUAUUCGGAAGAACACCAGUGGCGAAGGCGACUAACUGGACAUGUAUUGACGCUGACGUGCGAAAGCGUGGGGAGCAAACAGGAUUAGAUACCCUGGUAGUCCACGCCGUAAACGAUGAUAACUAGCUGUC